AGGCAUGGAUCGAGAGAGGGUUCAAUAGUCAUAGUUUUGAUGAAUGGUAAUACAGCUAAUGACUUAACCUGUGACCCAGUUGAAUCUAGCAGUCACCUCUGCACAGCUACUCCAGGGCCAGAGUCUCGUUCAGCCAGAGUUUGCAGGUCCUCUUACACAUCAGAAGCACCUCAUAUAUGGAUGCCGAAGUGAGCUGCUCUUUGGUUCUCGAGUGGAAACGGAGUGGGGAGGGUCCCUGGGAACGCAACUUGGGGGCAGUUUCAGAUGGUUCCCGACAGGCGAGAGGAGCAAAGAAAUUCACUCAUCCGGAAAGCAGAUCGAGAAAGCCAGUGUGGCCGGAGCUGCGAUUUCCCUGCAAGGGUCGCGGGAGGAGGGGAGGCGAUGCGAGUGUUCCUGUUUGCGUUCGCUUGCGCCAGCUUCUCCAGCCCCUCAAGCACAAAUGGGGAAAAGUCAGCUAGGAUUAUUGACUAGAAACACUACGUUAGAAGCCGGGGCUGCCCCAGCAACUGGACAGGUGCCAGCUCUGAUCUCCAGGCUGGGACCUGCAGGCAUACUUGGAGACAUUAAACCAUGAAGCAAAGAACCAAAACCUUUCACCAAUUUUAUUUGAUCUAGAAACAAUUAAGUAAAAGUGCUGAAGUCCAUGUUAUAUGGGGAACAGGAAACUUCAAAAUAAGCAGAGAAAGCUGGGGGCUGGUUUCCAUGGUAGCAGCUUGCAGUAAAGCCUAAUUCCUUGUGACAAAGAGGUCAUCUUCCUUUUCAAAUGUGUUUAUGAUCCCUUUGUGCAUUGUAUUUUGGCAUAAAGGCUUCUAUGCCCUGUCAGGGCUCCGCAGGCAGCUCUAUGACUCUCAAGGGGGUUUAUUGCCUCCUUGGUAUAAGAAUAGCAGAAAGAAGCCAAACUAGUGCCAGUGUGACAAAAGAUAACCUCACGGGCUUGCUGUUGCUUUCUUUCUGUUAACACAUAAAUCUUGCUAUGCACUGAAAUAAUUAAAAAAUGAGAGAUUCUGGGAUAACUUUGAUUUUGUGUUUUUUCAACCUUUUACAUAAAUUGAAACACUACAUGCAAACAUGUACAAGAAGAUUGAUUCAGUGUGAGGAUAUAAUUAUUUUUUGCCUCACUUUCCACAUAAUUU
ensembl:lncRNA